rnacentral:rRNA from 1 species
GACGAACGCUGGCGGCGUGCUUAACACAUGCAAGUCGAACGAAGUGGGAACGGGUGAGUAAUACGUGGGUAACCUCCCUCCUUUUUGGGAUAAGCCUUGGAAACGGGGUCUAACCCGAAUAGAUGGGCUCUCGGCCUAUCAGCUUGUUGGUGGGGUGAUGGCCUACCAAGGCGGUGCCGGGUAGCCGGCCUGAGAGGGUGACCGGCCAAAUUGGGACUGAGAAAAGGGCCAGGAUCCUAAGGGAGGAAGCAGUGGGGAAUCUUUCGCAAUGGACGAAAGUCUGAAGGAGCAACGGCGGGUGAGUGGUGACGGCCUUCGGGUUGUAAAGCUCUGUUAAUCGGGACGCGGUACCGGAAUAGAAAGCCACGGCUAACUACGUGCCAGCAGCCGCGGUAAUAC